UCGCGGUGGCGGAGCGUCGUUUGCGACGCCCAACACACAAAACAAGCGGUGAGUGCUUUGGGGUGGGGUGACUGCGUACCUUUUGUAUAAUGGGUCAGCGACUUAUAUUCUGUAGCAAGGUUAACCGAAUAGGGGAGCCGGAGGGAAACCGAGUCUUAAUUGGGCGUUAAGUUGCAGGGUAUAGACCCGAAACCCGGUGAUCUAGCCAUGGGCAGGUUGAAGGUUGGGUAACACUAACUGGAGGACCGAACCGAC
rnacentral:rRNA from 1 species